CAUCGAACGCGACUUCUUCCCGGACAUCUUGAAACUCCGUGACCGGCUGGAUUGGCUUGAAGCGGUAAAAACCGGCGACCCCAUUCAAAUACGAGAUGCCCAGUUGAGGAUCAUCGAGCGCCGUGGCAAAAGGAUAAAGAAUUCCAACUCUGAUUGGAGUACUCAGACUAGAAACGGCACACAAACCCCAGGUACUUUGAUGCGUAAUUUCACUCCCUUUGAUGAAUUUGAUAACAAAACGCCUAGUGCUGCAAAUACGGC
rnacentral:misc_RNA from 1 species